CCUACGGGUGGCAGCAGUGAGGAAUAUUGGUCAAUGGUCGGGAGACUGAACCAGCCAAGCCGCGUGAGGGAUGAAGGUACAGAGUAUCGUAAACCUCUUUUGUCAGGGAACAAAGGCGGGGACGUGUCCCCGGAUGAGUGUACCUGAAGAAAAAGCAUCGGCUAACUCCGUGCCAGCAGCCGCGGUAAUACGGAGGAUGCGAGCGUUAUCCGGAUUUAUUGGGUUUAAAGGGUGCGCUGGCGGUCUGUUAAGUCAGCGGUAAAAGCCCGGGGCACAACCCCGCCCCGCCGUUGAAACUGGCAGUCUCGAGUUGGAGAGAAGUAUGCGGAAUGCGCGGUGUAGCGGUGAAAUGCAUAGAUAUCGCGCAGAACUCCGAUUGCGAAGGCAGCAUGCCGGCUCCACACUGACGCUGAGGCACGAAAGCGUGGGUAUCGAACAGGAUUAGAUACCCCAGUAGUC
rnacentral:rRNA from 1 species